rnacentral:rRNA from 1 species
AUUGAACGCUGGCGGCAGGCCUAACACAUGCAAGUCGAGCGGAUGAAGGGAGCUUGCUCCUGGAUUCAGCGGCGGAUGGGUGAGUAAUGCCUAGGAAUCUGCCUGGUAGUGGGGGAUAACGUCCGGAAACGGGCGCUAAUACCGCAUACGUCCUGAGGGAGAAAGUGGGGGAUCUUCGGACCUCACGCUAUCAGAUGAGCCUAGGUCGAAUUAGCUAGUUGGUGGGGUAAAGGCCUACCAAGGCGACGAUCCGUAACUGGUCUGAGAGGAUGAUCAGUCACACUGGAACUGAGACACGGUCCAGACUCCUACGGGAGGCAGCAGUGGGGAAUAUUGGACAAUGGGCGAAAGCCUGAUCCAGCCAUGCCGCGUGUGUGAAGAAGGUCUUCGGAUUGUAAAGCACUUUAAGUUGGGAGGAAGGGCAGUAAGUUAAUACCUUGCUGUUUUGACGUUACCAACAGAAUAAGCACCGGCUAACUUCGUG